rnacentral:rRNA from 1 species
UACGUAGGGUGCGAGCGUUGUCCGGAAUUAUUGGGCGUAAAGAGCUCGUAGGCGGUUUGUCACGUCUGCUGUGAAAUCCCGAGGCUCAACCUCGGGCCUGCAGUGGGUACGGGCAGACUGGAGUGCGGUAGGGGAGAAUGGAAUUCCUGGUGUAGCGGUGGAAUGCGCAGAUAUCGAGAGGAACACCGGUGGCGAAGGCGGAUCUCUGGGCCUUACCUGACGCUCAGGCGCGAAAGCUAGGGGAGCGAACAGG